rnacentral:rRNA from 1 species
CAGUAGCCGCGGGAAAACGGAGGGUGCAAGCGUUAAUCGGAAUUACUGGGCGUAAAGCGCACGCAGGCGGUCUGACAAGUCAGAUGUGAAAUCCCCGGGCUCAACCUGGGAACUGCAUUUGUGACUGUAUAGCUAGAGUACGGCAGAGGGGGAUGGAAUUCCGCGUGUAGCAGUGAAAUGCGUAGAUAUGCGGAGGAACACCGAUGGCGAAGGCAAUCCCCUGGGCCUGUACUGACGCUCAUGCACGAAAGCGUGGGGAGCAAACAGGAUUAGAUACCCCAGUAGUCCCUGUCUCUUAUAC